rnacentral:rRNA from 1 species
AAAUUUAAAUAUAGUUUAUGUUAAAAUAUUUUAAACUUUCUUUAUAUUUUUAGUAUAAAUUUAUAUAUAAAUAGAAGAAAAAUUUAUUUUUUUAAAAAAAAUAAAAUAGAAGUUUAAUAAAAUGAUUUGGCUAAACUUGUGCCAGCCGCCGCGGUUAUACAAGUAAAUCUUUUUUAAUAUAUUAAAAAUAAUAAAAUUAUUAAAAAAUUUUUAAAAAAUUAAUAAAGGUGAAAUUUAUAUUUUUUAAUAACAAAAUUGAUUUUAAAAAAAUUUAAUUUUUAAACUAGGAUUAGAUACCCUAUUAUUUUAAGCUAAAUGUUGGUAGUAAGUAAAGUUUAUGAAAUCAUAAAAUUUUGGCGGUAUUUUAAGCUUAUUAGAGGAAUUUGCUCUGUAAUGGACACAACGCCUUGAUCUUACUUAAUUUAGUAUUAAAUCAGUUUGUAUACCACUAUAUUUAAUUAUAUUGAAUAAUUAUAGUUAAGAUUUUUUUUAAUCUAAAAAGUAUAUUAAGUCAAGGUGCAGCUUAUAAUUAUGAAUGAAGUGAAUUACAUUAAUUUUAAUGCUAUAAUAUUGAAAAGAAAAUUAGGAUUUAAUAGUAAAAUAUUAAUAGAAUGAAUAUUUGAAAUAAGCUCUAAAAUAUGCACAUAUCGCCCGUCGCUCUCAGAGGUGAGAUAAGUCGUAACAAAGUAAAAGUACUGGAAAGUGUUUUU